rnacentral:rRNA from 1 species
CAGCAGCCGCGGUAAUACGUAGGGUGCAAGCGUUAAUCGGAAUUACUGGGCGUAAAGCGUGCGCAGGCGGUUAUGCAAGACAGAGGUGAAAUCUCCGGGCUCAACCUGGGAACUGCCUUUGUGACUGCAUGGCUAGAGUACGGUAGAGGGGGAUGGAAUUCCGCGUGUAGCAGUGAAAUGCGUAGAUAUGCGGAGGAACACCGAUGGCGAAGGCAAUCCCCUGGACCUGUACUGACGCUCAUGCACGAAAGCGUGGGGAGCAAACAGGAUUAGAUACCCUGGUAGUCUACGCCCUAAACGAUGUCAACUGGUUGUUGGGAGGGUUUCUUCUCUAGUAACGUAGCUAACGCGUGAAGUUGACCGCCUGGGGAGUACGGCCGCAAGGUUGAAACUCAAAUAAAUUGACG